UCUCCUUAUGCUGCCCAGGGUGGUUUCGAACUCCUGGGCUCAAGUGAUCCUCCCACUUCUGCAUUCCAAAGUGCUGGGAUUACAGGUGUGAGCCACUGCAUCUGGCAUGCUGGGAGAUUCUUAAUGUUCCCUCCCACUAAGCAGGUUGGGGUGGGUCAACACAUCUUCAUGGGAGUAGAUGGAACUGAAAUGCUGGUGAGCUUGGUAGGAAAGCAAGUUUAGGGCUUAACUCGAGUUCCAGUUAGCUAUCGCUGUGUAAAAGCCACCUCCAAAAUUCAGUGGCUUCGAAUGACUAUUUUAUAUAUUUAUUUUUUUAUUUGUUUUUUAUUUUUGAGACGGAGUCUCACUCUGUCUCCCAAGCUAGAGUGCAGUGAUGCAAUCUCGGCUCACUGCAACCUCCGCCUCCCGGGUUCCAGCGAUUCUCCUGCCUCAGCCCCCUGAGUAGCUGGGACUACAGGCACGUACCACAAAGCCCCGCUAAAUUUUGUAUUUUUUAGUAGAGACAGGGUUUCACUACAUUACCCAGGCUGGUCUCGAACUCCUGACCUUGUGAUCCGCCUGCUUCGGCCUCCCAAAGUGCUGGGAUUACAGGCGUGAGCCACCGCACCCAGCCUAUUUAUUAUUCUUCACAGUUCUCGGGGAUAACGGGCUCAGCUGCGAAGUUCUUCCUUGAGCAUCUGAAUUUGGUUGUGGUCAGAUGGUGGAUAAAGCUGGACUUAUCUGAAUCUUCUUUCGUCACAUGUCUGGAGUGUCUGGAGUGGCUGGAAAACAGCUUCCUCACAAGUCCCCCUAUGUUAUUGGGGACAGAAUUGUGCCCAGACAAGAAAAUGAUGUUUCCCAGCCUCCCCUGCAGCUGAGUGGGGACAACCAUUGAGAUAUUUCCUUAGAAGUUUCCAGAGCUGAAUUCUGACACGGACCAGAUAUCCCUGGAAUUCUCUCCUCAGCAGGAGGUUACUUCAAGGCUGGAGUUCACUCUCAGCUAGAGAUUGACUGCGAUUGAUUUGUGAGCUGCGUGGACUCAUGAUGGUGCUGGCCCCUUCAGCAGAUGGAACAAUAAUUCAAAAGAAGCCAUUGGAGCGAGACAUGCCACCUGGUACCUCCUAGCCCCCCGUGCCUCUUCUGCAGUCCAAGCCCCUCUUCUUAAACCAGGGCCCCCUCUCCAGAAAUUGGAAAAUGGCAAUUUUUGGAAAGGAUUCUGGCCAGCCUUUCCUUGCUAGCAACGGAUAAUGAAAUUUACUUUCUUUUUAACACACCUUGCUCUUAUUUUGGCUUCUUUCUGCAAGUGGCAAGCAACCUGACCCUCUUUCGGUUACAAGUCUCAACGAAAUGGAAUGGGAAUGAUAGUAAGAAACAGGAUUUCAGCACAAAUAUGGUCAUGUGAUUGUAGCACUCUUUUUUUUUUUUUUUUUUUUCUGAGACCGAGUCUCACUCUGUCACCCAGGCUGGAGAACAGUGGCAUGAUCUCAGCUCACUGCAACCUCCACCUCCCAGGUUCAAGUGAUUCUCGUGCCUCAGCCUCCCGAGUAGGUGGGAUUACAGGCACCCGCCAACAUGUCCGGCUAAUUUUUGUAUUUUUAGUAGAGACGGGGUUUUGCCAUGUUGGCCAGGCUGGUCUCAAACUUCUGACCUCAAGUGAUUUGCCUGCCUCAGCUUCCCAAAGUGCUGGGAUUACAAGCGUGAGCCACCG
rnacentral:lncRNA from 1 species